rnacentral:rRNA from 1 species
GCUGGCGGCACGCCUAAUACAUGCAAGUCGAACGCAGUAGCAAUACUGAGUGGCAAACGGGUGAGUAUAAUGUGGGAAUCUGCCUUUUGGUUCGGAAUAACACGGGGAAACUUGUGCUAAUACCGGAUAAGCCUUCACAGGGAAAGUUUUAAUGCCAAAAGAUGAGCCCGCACUUGAUUAGCUAGUUGGUGAGGUAAAAGCUCACCAAGGCAACGAUCAAUAGCUGUUCUUAGAGGAAGACCAGCCACAUUGGGACUGAGACACGGCCCAGACUCCUACGGGAGGCAGCAGUAGGGAAUCUUGCACAAUGGGGGAAACCCUGAUGCAGCGAUGCCGCGUGAGUGAAGAAGGCCUUUGGGUUGUAAAACUCUUUCGUCGGGGAAGAAAAUGACUGUACCCGAAUAAGAAGGUCCGGCUAACUUCGUGCCAGCAGCCGCGGUAAUACGAAGGGACCUAGCGUAGUUCGGAAUUACUGGGCUUAAAGAGCUCGUAGGUGGUUAAAAAAGUUGAUGGUGAAAUCCCAAGGCUCAACCUUGGAACUGCCAUCAAAACUUUUUAGCUAGAGUGUGAUAGAGGAAAGUGGAAUUUCUAGUGUAGAGGUGAAAUUCGUAGAUAUUAGAAAGAACACCAAAUGCGAAGGCAACUUUCUGGAUCAUUACUGACACUGAGGAGCGAAAGCAUGGGUAGCGAAGAGGAUUAGAUACCCUCGUAGUCCAUGCCGUAAACGAUGUGUGCUAGACGUUGGAAACAUAGUUUUCAGUGUCGCAGCGAAAGCAUUAAGCACACCGCCUGGGG